rnacentral:rRNA from 1 species
GCACAAGCGGUGAGCAUGUGGUUAAUUCGAAGCAACGCGAAGAACCUUACCAGGUCUUGACAUCCCGAUGCUAUUUCUAGAGAUAGAAAGUUACUUCGGUACAUCGGUGACAGGUGGUGCAUGGUUGUCGUCAGCUCGUGUCGUGAGAUGUUGGGUUAAGUCCCGCAACGAGCGCAACCCCUAUUGUUAGUUGCCAUCAUUCAGUUGGGCACUCUAGCGAGACUGCCGGUAAUAAACCGGAGGAAGUGGGGAUGACGUCAAAUCAUCAUGCCCCUUAUGACCUGGGCUACACACGUGCUACAAUGGUUGGUACAACGAGUUGCGAGUCGGUGACGGCGAGCUAAUCUCUUAAAGCCAAUCUCAGUUCGGAUUGUAGGCUGCAACUCGCCUACAUGAAGUCGGAAUCGCUAGUAAUCGCGGAUCAGCACGCCGCGGUCGAAUACGUUCCCGGGCCUU